rnacentral:lncRNA from 1 species
AUGGGGCUCAACUCUGCUGCACUCUCCCCAGCCAGCACCUCACCUUACAAAGGGAAGGUGCCGGGCCCAGAGCAGGGACCAAGCUCUGGGGCUGGCUUUAACCUUUGCCAUGUCUGGGUGGUGCCCGAGCCCACGCACAGAUCCUGCUUCCCCAGCAAUGAGCCUGUGAUGGGGAAACCUCAGACAAGAAACAAUUGCUGUCCCUUCUCUGGCUGCAACAUCAGAGCUGCAAUUGCACCACAGAGCGAGCAUCACCUUUGGGACACCCGAAAAGGUGUGACACCCGGUGACCCACUCGAUGCGGCCGCUGUGACAAUGACGCCCAGCCCACGAGCCACCGGCGUGCCCGCCAAAAGCCCCCGGGGGACCGGGCAUCCCCAAGCGACCCCGUCCUGGAGAGCCGCAUCCCUGUGCCGCCAACACCCGGGCGGGAUUUGGGGCACGCAGCAGGAGCUGCCCCGAGCUGCUCCCCAGCUCCAUCACCCCCUCUCCAUUAUUUUGCGUGGGAUUAAAGCCACGGCUGCUAAAAUCCUGUAUUUAUCCCCACGGUGCCCAGCCAAUGACCUGGGCGCUGGCGCGCAGGGUUGGGGAUCAGAGAUGAUAAAGCUGCCUCUUGCCCCCUGCUCCCCGCAAAGCAAAAGGCGCCCGGUGCCACCGCGCAGGGGGGCACGAUGGCGGCGGCGAGCGGGAAGAGCUGCGCUCAGGUAAGGGGAUUUCAUCCCCAGAUUUGUGGGGUUUUGUGUUUUUUUUUAAGCCUUGGGACUGGCUGCGAUGUCCUCGGUGUGAAGGAUGUGCGGCCGCUUCGGCCGGCUUCCUCCUGUAGGAGGAACUGAGCCCACGCCGCUGGGCAAUGCUCCACGAAACCCCGAUUCUGAAGAAUUUAGGGAAGGGUGGAGGAGAGCUGGCCCCGGCCCCAUGGUCCCGAGCCAUGCAGGGAGCUGACACAGCUGUGAGAUUUGGGGCGCUUACCAGCACAGCGUGAAUUCAAGGAAGGCACGUGAUUGCGCGGAAGCGAAGCGUUCUCGCUGCCCCAAUGUCCGGAGGGGGCGCGACAUUUCUCCUUGCAGGGGGAGGAUGCUGGGCGCUGCUUGCACGUGGCUGCCAAACCUUCUGGAGUUCCGUGGAAGAGUGUGGGUUUU